AACAGCUAUAAUGUACUUGAUGUUGAUUAUCCAACGUGGAUAACUGUGGCAAUUCUAGAGCUAAUACAUGCACCAAAGCUCCGACUUUUGGACGAGCGCAUCUAUUAGAUUAAAACCAAUCGGGUUAUUUUAGCCCGUUAAUUGGUGACUCUGAAUAGCUAUGGCUGAUCGCAUGGUCUUGUACCGGCGACAUAUCUAUCAAGUGUCUGCCUUAUCAACUUUCGAUGGUAGUUUAUGUGCCUACCAUGGUUGUAACGGGUAACGGAGAAUAAGGGUUCGACUCCGGAGAGGGAGCCUGAGAAACGGCUACCACAUCCAAGGAAGGCAGCAGGCGCGCAAAUUACCCACUCUCAGAAUGAGGAGGUAGUGACGAAAAAUAACGAGACCGUUCUCUUUGAGGCCGGUUAUCGGAAUGGGUACAAUUUAAACCUGUUAACGAGGAUCAGUAACGGCCAGUCUGGUGCCAGCAGCCGCGGUAAUUCCAGCUCUCAAAGUGUAUAUCGUCAUUGCUGCGGUUAAAAAGCUCGUAGUUGGAUCUGCGUCUCAGGACCUGGUCCAUCCAUUGGAUGAGAACUGGGCUCCUAGGCUAAUAUUGCCAGUUUUCCCUAUGUUACCUUGAUCGGUUGCGUAUGGUGGCUAGCAAGUUUACCUUGAAAAAAUUAGAGUGCUCAAUGCAGGCUAAUGCCUGAAUACUCGUGCAUGGAAUAAUGAAAUAGGAUCUCGGUUCUAUUUUGUUGGUUUUCUGAUCUGAGAUAAUGGUUAAGAGGGACGGACGGGGGCAUUCGUAUCGCUGCGUGAGAGGUGAAAUUCUUGGACCGUAGCGAGACGUACGACUGCGAAAGCAUUUGCCAAGAAUGUCUUCAUUAAUCAAGAACGAAAGUC
rnacentral:rRNA from 1 species